GUGCUCGCUUCGGCAGCACACAUACUAAAAUUGGAUACAGAGAAGAUUAACAUGGCCCCUGUGCAAGGAUGACACGCAAAAAUCACAAUUCAUUUUUUCUUUU